rnacentral:rRNA from 1 species
UGACGCGGCGGCGGCUACACAUGCAGUCGUAGCGGUACAGAGAGUAGCUUGCUACUUUGCUGACGAGCGGCGGACGGGUGAGUAAUGCUUGGGAACAUGCCUUGAGGUGGGGGACAACAGUUGGAAACGACUGCUAAUACCGCAUAAUGUCUACGGACCAAAGGGGGCUUCGGCUCUCNCCUUUUAAAUUGGCCCAAGUGGGAUUAGCUAGUUGGUGAGGUAAUGGCUCACCAAGGCGACGAUCCCUAGCUGGUUUGAGAGGAUGAUCAGCCACACUGGGACUGAGACACGGCCCAGACUCCUACGGGAGGCAGCAGUGGGGAAUAUUGCACAAUGGGCGCAAGCCUGAUGCAGCCAUGCCGCGUGUGUGAAGAAGGCCUUCGGGUUGUAAAGCACUUUCAGUCAGGAGGAAAGGUUAGUAGUUAAUACCUGCUAGCUGUGACGUUACUGACAGAAGAAGCACCGGCUAACUCCGUGCCAGCAGCCGCGGUAAUACGGAGGGUGCGAGCGUUAAUCGGAAUUACUGGGCGUAAAGCGUACGCAGGCGGUUUGUUAAGCGAGAUGUGAAAGCCCUGGGCUCAACCUGGGAACUGCAUUUCGAACUGGCAAACUAGAGUUGUGAUCAGAGGGGUGGGUAGAAUUUCAGGUGUNAGCGGUGAAAUGCGUUGAGAUCUGAAGGAUCCGAUGGCCGAAGCCGCCCUUGGUCACCUGGCCUCCUUUUCAAACGUUGGGGGCCACG